UGGGGAAUUUUGGACAAUGGGCGAAAGCCUGAUCCAGCAAUGCCGCGUGUGUGAAGAAGGCCUUCGGGUUGUAAAGCACUUUUGUCCGGAAAGAAAUCCUUGGCUCUAAUACAGUCGGGGGAUGACGGUACCAGAAGAAUAAGCACCGGCUAACUACGUGCCAGCAGGCCGCGGUAAUACGUAGGGCGCAAGCGUUAAUCGGAAUUACUGGGCGUAAAGCGUGCGCAGGCGUUUGCUAAGACCGAUGUGAAAUCCCCGGGCUCAACCUGGGAACUGCAUUGGUGACUGGCAGGCUAGAGUAUGGCAGAGGGGGGUAGAAUUCCACGUGUAGCAGUGAAAUGCGUAGAGAUGUGGAGGAAUUACCGAUGGCGAAGGCAGCCCCCUGGGCCAAAUACUGACGCUCAUGCACGAAAGCGUGGGGAGCAAACAGGAUUAGAUACCCCUGGUAGUCCACGCCCUAAACGAUGUCAACUAGUUGGUUGGGGGAUUCAUUUCCUUAGUAACGUAGCUAACGCGUGAAGUUGGACCG
rnacentral:rRNA from 1 species